rnacentral:misc_RNA from 1 species
UAUUCUCAAACCCCUUCAUUUUUGUGAAGUGGAUAUUGGACUUAGAGGGUUAUGCGGGUUUGUAAUGAAUCCGCUCCUCUUGAAUAUAUUAGCUGGAAACCUUUUGUUAGGCUGGCUUCAGUGUGAUAAUUGUCUGCGCUGUAGUCGUCUAGCACUCGUAUAAAGGAUUCUGCUUCUUAAUCGUCUUUAAGACAACUACUUUAAUUAUGAC